rnacentral:rRNA from 1 species
GACGAACGCUGGCGGCGUGCUUAACACAUGCAAGUCGAACGGUGAAGCGCCUUCCUUUUUGGUGGGUGUGGAUGAGUGGCGAACGGGUGAGUAACACGUGAGUAACCUGCCCCCUUCUUCUGGAUAACCGCAUGAAAGUGUGGCUAAUACGGGAUAUUCUGGGUCUGUCGCAUGAUGGGUCUGGGAAAGAUAUUGUUUCGGUGGGGAUGGGCUCGCGGCCUAUCAGCUUGGUGGUGGGGUGAUGGCCUACCAAGGCGGUGACGGGUAGCCGGCCUGGGAGGGUGGACGGUCACACUGGGACUGAGACACGGCCCAGACUCCUACGGGAGGCAGCAGUGGAGAAUAUUGCACAAUGGGCGCAAGCCUGAUGCAGCGACGCCGCGUGAGGGAUGGAGGCCUGCGGGUUGUGAACCUCUUUCGCCAGUGAAGCAGGCCUGCCUCGUUUGUGGGUGGGUUGACGGUAGCUGGAUAAGAAGCGCCGGCUAACUACGUG